GCCGCGGUGGUGGAAUGGCAGACACGCAGGACUUAAAAUCCUGUGACCGCAAGGUCGUGAGCGUUCGACUCGCUCUCGCGGCA
rnacentral:tRNA from 2 species